rnacentral:rRNA from 1 species
UACGUAGGGUGCAAGCGUUAAUCGGAAUUACUGGGCGUAAAGCGUGCGCAGGCGGCUUUGCAAGACAGAUGUGAAAUCCCCGGGCUUAACCUGGGAACUACAUUUGUGACUGCAUGGCUGGAGUGCGGCAGAGGGGGAUGGAAUUCCGCGUGUAGCAGUGAAAUGCGUAGAUAUGCGGAGGAACACCGAUGGCGAAGGCAAUCCCCUGGGCCUGCACUGACGCUCAUGCACGAAAGCGUGGGGAGCAAACAGG